rnacentral:rRNA from 1 species
UAGCAAUACAGUGGAAAGUCUAGCGGCGAACGGGUGCGUAACACGUGGGCAAUCUGCCUUAAAGUGGGGGAUAGCUCGGCGAAAGCCGAAUUAAUACCGCAUGUGAUUACGGUAGACAUCUACCGGACAUCAAAGUCGGGGCAACCUGACGCUUUUUGAGGAGCCCGCGGCCUAUCAGCUUGUUGGUGAGGUAACGGCUCACCAAGGCUUUGACGGGUAGCUGGUCUGAGAGGACGACCAGUCACACUGGAACUGAGACACGGUCCAGACACCUACGGGUGGCAGCAGUCGAGAAUUUUUCUCAAUGGGGGAAACCCUGAAGGAGCGACGCCGCGUGGAGGAUGAAGGUCUUCGGGUUGUAAACUCCUGUCAUUUGGGAACAAGUCGUACGUAUUAACUGUACGUGCGUUGAUAGUACCAGAAGAGGAAGAGACGGCUAACUCUGUGCCAGCAGCCGCGGUAAUACAGAGGUCUCAAGCGUUGUUCGGAUUCAUUGGGCGUAAAGGGUGCGUAGGUGGCGCCGUAAGUCAGGUGUGAAAUUUCGGAGCUUAACUCCGAAACUGCAUUUGAUACUGCGGUGCUUGAGGACUGGAGAGGAGACUGGAAUUCACGGUGUAGCA